rnacentral:rRNA from 1 species
CGGGUGGUAAUGCCGGAUGCUCCGACAUGACGCAUGUCGUGUCGGGAAAGAUUCAUCGGUAUGGGAUGGGGUCGCGUCCUAUCAGCUUGAUGGCGGGGUAACGGCCCACCAUGGCUUCGACGGGUAGCCGGCCUGAGAGGGCGACCGGCCACAUUGGGACUGAGAUACGGCCCAGACUCCUACGGGAGGCAGCAGUGGGGAAUAUUGCACAAUGGGCGCAAGCCUGAUGCAGCGACGCCGCGUGCGGGAUGACGGCCUUCGGGUUGUAAACCGCUUUUGACUGGGAGCAAGCCCUUCGGGGUGAGUGUACCUUUCGAAUAAGCACCGGCUAACUACGUGCCAGCAGCCGCGGUAAUACGUAGGGUGCAAGCGUUAUCCGGAAUUAUUGGGCGUAAAGGGCUCGUAGGCGGUUCGUCGCGUCCGGUGUGAAAGUCCAUCGCUUAACGGUGGAUCCGCGCCGGGUACGGGCGGGCUUGAGUGCGGUAGGGGAGACUGGAAUUCCCGGUGUAACGGUGGAAUGUGUAGAUAUCG